UCAAUAUAUAAUUAUAUCUAUAUUAUUUAAAUCUAGAAUGUCCACAAAUUGUUUAAAUGCAAUGUUUGCAGCUUCAGUCGGCUAUACUUAAUACUGGUCGGUUGCGAAAUCAUAGUGGAAACGCCCAUACAGGUUGCAUAAGCUUGUCAGUGCAUUGGAGACGCAGAUUGGAGAUCGCUAUCAGACCUUCAUCAGCGUGCAUUUCUUUGCAUACAGGGACCCAGUGACUGCUGCACACAGGCAGGUGCUCAAGUAGGCUAAAGGCCAAUUCAUGGUCCAGACGUAGCAUACACGGACCGGACUCCGCUGGGGUCCGCGCGGUCAAAAUGACGAAAUAGCGGACCUCAGCGUACGUCCGCCUUGGCAUGUCCGCGCGAAGCUCAAUUUUUGUGACCGCGCGUGCCUAGCGUACGCGUACCUGUGUCACACAAAUCAUGGCUCGGUAUGAAACUGUUUCACAUCAACAUGCAUUUCAUGUGGCACCGGAAACACGCGGUGAUGCGGAAUACAUAAAAUAGACAUGGAGUGGACAUUUGAAGAGAGACUAGCUGAAGAGUAAAGACCCAGAAACAGAUGUGAGAAAGCGAGCUCCCAGAAGAAGAAGAAGACAGAAGCUAUACUUAAACAGUCAGUGUGAAAGUAUU